rnacentral:rRNA from 1 species
GGUGGAAAGAUUUAUCGGUGCAGGAUGGGCCCGCGGCCUAUCAGCUUGUUGGUGGGGUAAUGGCCUACCAAGGCGACGACGGGUAGCCGACCUGAGAGGGUGACCGGCCACACUGGGACUGAGACACGGCCCAGACUCCUACGGGAGGCAGCAGUGGGGAAUAUUGCACAAUGGGCGAAAGCCUGAUGCAGCGACGCCGCGUGAGGGAUGACGGCCUUCGGGUUGUAAACCUCUUUCAGCAGGGACGAAGCGCAAGUGACGGUACCUGCAGAAGAAGCACCGGCUAACUACGUGCCAGCAGCCGCGGUAAUACGUAGGGUGCAAGCGUUGUCCGGAAUUACUGGGCGUAAAGAGUUCGUAGGCGGUUUGUCGCGUCGUUUGUGAAAACCAGCAGCUCAACUGCUGGCUUGCAGGCGAUACGGGCAGACUUGAGUACUGCAGGGGAGACUGGAAUUCCUGGUGUAGCGGUGAAAUGCGCAGAUAUCAGGAGGAACACCGGUGGCGAAGGCGGGUCUCUGGGCAGUAACUGACGCUGAGGAACGAAAGCGUGGGUAGCGAACAGGAUUAGAUACCCUGGUAGUCCACGCCGUANACGGUGGGCGCUAGGUGUGGGUUCCUUCCACGGAAUCCGUGCCGUAGCUACGCAUUAAGCGCCCCGCC